rnacentral:rRNA from 1 species
UACGAGGGGGGCGAGCGUUGUUCGGAUUUACUGGGCGUAAAGGGCGCGUAGGCGGCUAUCCAAGUCAGGCGUGAAAGCCCCGGGCUUAACCUGGGAGGUGCGUCUGGGACUGGGUGGCUAGAGUUCGGGAGAGGAGAGUGGAAUUCCCAGUGUAGAGGUGAAAUUCGUAGAUAUCAGGAGGAACACCAGUGGCGAAGGCGGCAUCCUGGACAGCAACUGACGCUGAGACGCGAAAGCGAGGGGAGCAAACAGG